CUCAAUCACAAACCGUAUUAUUUUACGACCGUCCAUAGACCUAUUAUAACUUACUAAGUUAUAGUUUACUUUAGUUAAUAAACAAUAGAAACUGACGACUGUGCACGGCGAAUACUCUCAAGUACUAACGUCUACUGUAACGAGAUGGAUGCCAUACACUGUACAUCGUAUUGUGACGGUGAUCAAAUGGGUGUUCGGAAGUCCGAUGAAUGCGAAUCAACAAACUACACAAAUACCACAUUAUCACUUGCACUGUUAAAGCCUUUGAACUCCUGCGAUCUUUACAGAUGAAGUAUUAUACGUGAUAUAAGGCUGAAAGCUGAUGAUGAUACAAUUGUAUUUGGACGCAAAGUUGUAUUUAUGUCUGCUAGUCAAUAUUUCCCGCCUAUGUUCACUAAUUUUAGUGAAAACAAAAAAGAUAUUGUUGAUUUACGAGAACUAGAUUCCACCAUUUUAAACAAUAAAUUGGUAAAUUAUAUUAUAUUUAGAGUGGGAAGAUCAUGAUCAGCAAAUCAAAUGGACAGGUUUUGUUAACGGCUGCAAAUGUCUUACGGUUAGACUAUGUAAAAGGCGCAUGUGCUUAGUUUGUACAGAAACAACUAGAUCCAACCAAUUGUCUUGGUAUUAGAUCAUUUGCUGAUUUACAUAACUGUUCGGAAUUGUUAUCAAGUUAGAAUCAUUAGAAAAAAGUUUCUGUAUGAUAAAUAGAUGUGGUUAAAGGUGAUGAAUUUCUAUCUGUAUCCACUGAAUAAUUGAUAAUGCUAAUCCCUUGAUUCCUGAAGAAAAAGUGUAUGAAUGUGUUAUUAAUUGGGUAACACAUGAAUUAAAUGUUAGAUAUGAUGGUUUGGUGAAAGUAAUGGAACAUGUACGUUUGCCUUUAGCAUCAUUAGAUACAAUGAAUGAAGUCGAGGAACCUAUUUUUAUAAAUAUUCCUAAAAUUACAGAUUAUUUAAUUGAAGCUUUUCAAUUUCAUACACUAUUAAGACACAAUAGCUAACAAUUCCACAAACUAUUCGAAAUACACCUAGAAUGUCUGGACAAAAGGUUAUUCCAGUAUUCAGACGUUCACCUGGAACCCUCGUGUAUGAUCCAACAACUAACUUGUCGCAGCAGCAUUUACCAGAAACCAGUUUGAUGGAUUAUUUUUGUGUAAAUUAGUUUACCUCAAUAUUAAAGAAUAUUUUGUUAUUCUUUCUGAAAGUUCUUUUAAAAUUAUUGAUUUAUCAUUCAAAUCACUCAGAUGUGUGACAUCCUUGUUAGACACCUUAGUUUAUAGAAGUCAUUGUGGAUUUAGUGUAUUAGAUGAUAGUUUAUAUUAAGUAAGUUUUAAUUUUGUGACUUACUUAUUUUUAUAUUUUAAAUAUAUAUUAUAAUAUAAAAUGUUCCCGUCAAGAAUUACUGUAAAAAUCUGAUCCAUGGGCCUUUGGGUGUGACAGGCCGACAUUGAAUUUUUAUAUACACACACUAUUACACUAAUUAUCGUUUUCUACGUAAACUUGUAGGAUUCAAACGUAAAUGCCUGUAAUAUUGCCUAUACUGAACUCCUUAAAAUUUGUCAUACUUUGUAUAAAUAAUAAAUGUACAACUUAUACAAGUCAUUCAUUACGUAGGUACACAUCGAUAUUGAAGAAUGGAUAGGCCAUGGCUAUUAUAACAAUAUAGAGGGAAGCACGCCAUGGUGGGGAAGAGAGAAAGACCAUUUUUAUCAUUACCUCUCAUUCUAAAUUUCUAUCAGAGGUAAAGUUAUAAUAUAUUUAAUAUUUAUAUAUCCUUAUACAUCAAUAAUUUAUUCGUGACAAAUCCUCUGUAAUUUCUGUGUGAU